UCAAGGGGGAGAUGCACGGCAGAGAUGCACACGCUCUUCCCUGUGGGAUGACGGUGGUGUUCCUUCCUCCAACAAAAUUCCAGCCCCUUGAUACAUAGUCAGAUUCAGCCCCACACCAGCGAGUGCUUAUGGCGACGACGAUGACAAAGCAAGCUGACUGCUACUUCCGGAGUAUUACUGGAUGAUGCUUUGUACAGCAGCAACACACACGUACACAACAGCCUCUGCUGAUCGAUUCUGUGGCCGGCCAAAAAACGCUGUGCAGGCCAACAAAAUCAAUUGGACUGCCACAGGUGCCUGCUGUUUGCUUUAUUACUAAAUUCAUGGGAUUGGGUCGAGCCGGCGACCAAGCAGGGAGAUUCCAAUCAUCUGAAUUUUUGAUGGAGUCCAUUGGAUGGAUCAAUGGAAGAAGAGGUAGAAAAGCGCCUAGUAAUUGAUACUGGUAGUUCCUUGGUGAACUUGCCAUCAAUGGCUUUCUUCUUCGAUAAAUGUAAGCCAUUGGAGGAAGGAGACGAAGAGGCUGGGAGUUAAUUUCCAGCGAAUUAAUCUGGGGAUUUGAUUUGCUGGUGGGCACUGAGGAACAGUUAAUUUCCAGCGAAUUAUUCUGGAGAAUUCGAUGCGUCUGGUAAUCUGCUUCGAGAGUUCUCCUUUGGGCUAUGAAAAAGAGACUAGUAGUUUGGUUGUGGGCCUCGGUGGGUAGUGGUUACACAGUUAGCUGCCAGUAGUACUAUUUCUUUCUCUUUAAAUCUCACGGUUCAUUUAUUUGUAUUCCCCCCGCUCAACUUUUUUAUCUAGUCCUCUCAUUAAUACAUGCUUAGACAAAUUAGAGGCCCCAAAAAUUUUGGGGCCCUGUGCAGCUGCUCCGGUUGCACAUGCAGAGAUACGGCCCUGCUUGGCAUCAAGACAAUUUAAGUAUAUUCAAUAAUGCAGGGGAUGUUAAAUCUACUGUUAUUUGUGAAUAGUACUCUCUUUUUUGCUAUGGUUCCAUUUGUGGUUUCUCAUGUAGCAAUGUCAUGGUUCGUUAAAUCUUUCACACACAAUGAAAUGUUUAGGAAACUCGAUCCAGUAAAGUGGAGUGUUAAUUUAUCUAAAUACGUUUAGUAAGUUCAUCAUGUAGCAAAUUUUGCCAUAAAAUUUGUCAUGAAAGUAUACUUUGUCGGCACUAUUUUCCUAUAUAUAUUAUUUCUGUGCUAGACAUUUUUCAGCUAACUAGAAAAAAAAUACAUCACCUGAAAAGACUACGUACGUAACUCAAUAGUUAAUCCAGUGCCACAUGUAGAAGUAGACUGGUUACAGAAUCUUUCCAACAAUCUGGCAAGUACUGCAUAUAUCUAACUUGUUACAGAAUGCAAAUGACGGAAGAACUCUGACAAGUGCACCUUGAUCCUUACUGAAGGAGAUUCAGCAAAGGCUUUGGCUAUGGCGGAUGGGAUCACUAUGGUGUGUUUCCUCUCAGGAGUAAAUUUAAAUGUGAGAGAAGCAAGCCAUAAGCAGUUAAUGGGGAAUGCAGAGAUCCAAAAUAUGAAGAAAAUAUUAGGUCUGCAACAUGAAAAGAAGUAUGAUAGCACGAAAGGCUUGAGAUAUGACCACCUUAUGAUAAUGACAGAUUAGGUUUGCCCGACAACUUUUUCAGGACAAUGCAUGAGAUAGCAUUUGCAUCUACUAAUAAGCCAAAGCUACUUAGCCAGGAAAGCAUGAUCGCUUGGACAUCAUAAGCAAUUUGUGAUGCCGAGGAUCUUGUAGAGGAUUUAGGAAAGUGAAUUCCAACAUUAUUGAAGCAAAAUUGGUGAAGUUGAAUGAGGAUUGGAGAUGGCGUGUAACCUACUUACACAUAGAUGGAGACUCGGGAUGGCUGAUCUACACAGGCGUGGGCACCAUGUUUAUUACUCUUUGUUACCCAACAUAAUUUCCGUUUAUAAAUUUAGCUAGCGGCCGUGCACAUCUUGAGGUGUCCGUCAACUCCAAACACAAGCCCCAUUCCCCUGUAUGACUAAAUUCAGGUAUUCGUGAGGUGAAUAAGAUAUAUAAUGUUAAAACCUGUAGUUUUGUUAUCAAUGGUUUUGCAUUGUGUCUUGCUGCAAAUGAAUUAAUUGUUUUUUGCAUGUCUAAUUUUUACGAUGUGUUGAGGCCUUCAUAAUGUUAAUUUUGAAUUUAAGAACUGUGCUCUUAAGAUAUGUCCUUUAACCAUUUGUUUUCUUCUUUUGCCGAUUUCAAGAAAUAGUUCCUUUAAAUGUUGGAAAUGUUCUUGGUACUAAAGACAAUGUUGCAGCAAAGAAGUGGGUAUCACUUAUUGAUGACCAGGUGAUGAAUAUAUUGGUAGGGAUACAUGUCAUGGACCAUAUUUUUCACCAUUCCCAUAUGACUAUGGACUUGAACACCUAUGGAAGAAGAAGGUGUGUAGCCAAAUACUUCUAGGUAUUAUCUGUUGGCAUGUUCCAUGAAAAUUCACAUAUGCAAAUGUUUCUGCUCAGUAGUCCUAGGCGCAUGUUUGAUCUUUGCUGGUCAACUUUUGUUAAUAUAGACUCUGAUUGUUCUGUAAAGAUAUGCCUUCCAUACCUCAUAACUACUUCACUCUCUUCUAGGAGUACUAUAUAUAUGCAUGUGAUAUUCACUAUACCUUUUCUCAUUGCCCAUUACUUCACGUGCAAUAUAACAUAUGUAAGUCAUUUAUCUAUUGAUUCUGUUAUAUAAAGCUUUCCUUCUUGCUCUACUUAUUAUAGUAUGUACUUCCUGUCAUGAUUGCAGUAUGUAGCAGCCAAGGUGAUAUGCACGAGCCAAGGUGAUACUGAAGAACUUCUUAGUUCAUACCGAUUACAUGAGUAUAGAGGACAAGUUUGUUAAAUGUUCAUGUUUUGUUAUUGUCAGUGAGUUGAUAUGCAUGUGUUCUGAUGAUCCAACAAACACUGCCUCUUUUGGUGAUCACCCACCUUUUGGAGCAUGUUGAACUUUGAUUUCAAUCCAUGUCCGUGUCUUUAUGAUCAGUCAUUGACAUUGUGAGACUGUCACCUCUGUGUUAAUAUAGAGCUAUUAUUAGCUUACUCUGCUUUAUGAUUGAAGACUGCUGCUACUAUUCUA